AUCCCCCCCCCACAUCAUCAUCAACAGUAAAUUCGAUUGCAUUAUCAUAGCUAAUUUCAACACUUGUUUCGACAGACAAUAUAAGAAAACGUACGGCAAAACAAGAGACUAACCAGACAUUGAGAACAUGGCAGAAAGGGCUGUUAGAAUUGUCAUCAGUUCUUCUAUAUUUGCUGCUGCCAUGGCUGCUUCAUGGCAUCUCAUACCAGAUACAAAGUCAAAACUGGCCAUCAUGGGUAGUGUUGUUGUGGGGGUUCUUGGUGGUGUUCUGUUUUCAAAGUUUGUUGCACCACAAGAUGACGGACAAGAUAAUGUUCCUGCAGCACCUCUGGAAAAUUAAGUUAGCCAAUGAAACUUUUUAAUUUUCAACUCAUGAGUUUGAGUAGCAAUCUGCUUUUAUUUGAAAUGUGUCAGCUUUUAAGGUUUUAACCUUUUUGUAUUAUCGUGAAUAAACUUCAAUUUUUCUGCA